UACGAAGGGUGCAAGCGUUACUCGGAAUUACUGGGCGUAAAGGGUGCGUAGGUGGUCGUUUAAGUCCGUUGUGAAAUCCCUGGGCUCAACCUGGGAAUGGCAGUGGAUACUGGACGGCUAGAAUGCGGUAGAGGGUAGUGGAAUUCCUGGUGUAGCAGUGAAAUGCGUAGAGAUCGGGAGGAACACCAGUGGCGAAGGCGGCUCGCUGGGCCGGCCCUGACGCUGAGGCGCGAAGGCGUGGGGAGCGAACGGG
rnacentral:rRNA from 1 species